AAUAUAGUAUGAAAUGUUUUGAUUGACUAAUUAAAAUAGGAUGAAUAAGAGAAUAUUAUAGUAAGAGGGUUUAUCUAUGUUUAAAAUCAUAUAUAUGAAAGUUGACCAACUCUCUCCAUAUGAAUGACACAUUAUCACACAAGAAAAUGACAUGUGUCAUUCGAUAUUUUUAAAACUAAAAAUUAAUAAAAUUAAAUAAACAAAUUAAAUGUAUCAUCAAUCCUACUCUUGAUU
rnacentral:sRNA from 1 species